rnacentral:rRNA from 1 species
UUGUGCCUACGGGGGGCAGCAGUAGGGAAUCUUCCACAAUGGACGAAAGUCUGAUGGAGCAACGCCGCGUGAGUGAAGAAGGGGUUCGGCUCGUAAAUCUCUGUUGGUAGUGAAGAAAGAUAGAGGUAGUAACUGGCCUUUAUUUGACGGUAAUUACUUAGAAAGUCACGGCUAACUACGUGCCAGCAGCCGCGGUAAUACGUAGGUGGCAAGCGUUGUUCGGAAUAACUGGGCGUAAAGGAUGCGUAGGCGGGUAAA